rnacentral:rRNA from 1 species
UGGGGAAUAUUGGACAAUGGGCGCAAGCCUGAUCCAGCCAUGCCGUGUGAGUGAUGAAGGCCCUAGGGUUGUAAAGCUCUUUCGCCAGGGACGAUAAUGACGGUACCUGGAUAAGAAGCCCCGGCUAACUUCGUGCCAGCAGCCGCGGUAAUACGAAGGGGGCUAGCGUUGUUCGGAAUCACUGGGCGUAAAGCGCACGUAGGCGGAUCUUUAAGCCAGGGGUGAAAUCCCGAGGCUCAACCUCGGAACUGCCUUUGAUACUGGAGGUCUCGAGUCCGGGAGAGGUGAGUGGAACUGCGAGUGUAGAGGCGAAAUUCGUAGAUAUUCGCAAGAACACCAGUGGCGAAGGCGGCUCACUGGCCCAGUACUGACGCUGAGGUGCGAAAGCGUGGGGAGCAAACAGAAUUAGAUACCCUGGUAGUCCACGCCGUAAACUAUGGAUGCUAGCCGUUGGGCAGCUUGCUGUUCAGUGGCGCAGCUAACGCUUUAAGCAUCCCGCCUGGGGGAGUACGGUCGCAAGAUUAAAACUCAAAUGAAUUGACGGGGUCAUAGCUGUUUCCU